UCUAAAGCUAGUUCUGCCACUAACUGUGAGA
rnacentral:piRNA from 1 species